AUUGAACGCUGGCGGCAGGCCUAACACAUGCAAGUCGAGCGGAUGAAGGGAGCUUGCUCCUGGAUUCAGCGGCGGACGGGUGAGUAAUGCCUAGGAAUCUGCCUGGUAGUGGGGGAUAACGUCCGGAAACGGGCGCUAAUACCGCAUACGUCCUGAGGGAGAAAGUGGGGGAUCUUCGGACCUCACGCUAUCAGAUGAGCCUAGGUCGGAUUAGCUAGUUGGUGGGGUAAAGGCCUACCAAGGCGACGAUCCGUAACUGGUCUGAGAGGAUGAUCAGUCACACUGGAACUGAGACGCGGUCCAGACUCCUACGGGAGGCAGCAGUGGGGAAUAUGGGACAAUGGGCGAAAGCCUGAUCCAGCCAUGCCGCGUGGGUGAAGAAGUUCUGCGGAUUGUAAAGCACUUUAAGUUGGGAGGAAGGGCAGUAAGUUAAUACCUUGCUGUUUUGACUUUACUAACAGAAGAAGAACCGGCUAACUUCG
rnacentral:rRNA from 1 species